rnacentral:rRNA from 1 species
UACGUAGGGCGCGAGCGUUGUCCGGAAUUAUUGGGCGUAAAGAGCUCGUAGGCGGUUUGUCGCGUCUAUCGUGAAAACUGGAGGCUUAACUUUCAGCGUGCGGUGGAUACGGGCAGACUUGAGUUCGGUAGGGGAGACUGGAAUUCCUGGAUGUAGCGGUGAAAUGCGCAGAUAUCAGGAGGAACACCGGUGGCGAAGGCGGGUCUCUGGGCCGAUACUGACGCUGGAGGAGCGAAAGCGUCGGGGAGCGAACAGG